AGAGUUUGAUCCUGGCUCAGAAUAAACGCUGGCGGCGUGCUUAACACAUGCAAGUCGUACGAGAACUCUUUAAGCUUGCUUAGAGAUAGUAAAGUGGCGCACGGGUGAGUAACGCGUGGGUAAUCUACCCUUGAAUCCGGAAUAACUCGCCGAAAGGCGUGCUAAUACCAGAUAAAAUCAUUUCAACCUCGGUUUGAAUGAUCAAAGGUGGCCUCUACAUGUAAGCUACCGUUUAAGGAUGAACCCGCGUACCAUUAGCUUGUUGGUGGGGUAACGGCCUACCAAGGCGACGAUGGUUAGCUGGUCUGAGAGGAUGAUCAGCCACACUGGAACUGACACACGGUCCAGACUCCUACGGGAGGCAGCAGUGAGGAAUUUUGCGCAAUGGGGGAAACCCUGACGCAGCAACGCCGCGUGAGUGAUGAAGGCCUUCGGGUCGUAAAGCUCUGUCAAGUGGGAAGAACCUAAAAAAUGAUAAUACCAUUUUUUAUUGACGGUACCACUGAAGGAAGCACCGGCUAACUCCGUGCCAGCAGCCGCGGUAAUACGGAGGGUGCAAGCGUUAUUCGGAUUUACUGGGCGUAAAGGGCGCGUAGGCGGUCUUAUAAGUCAGAUGUGAAAGCCCGGUGCUCAACCCCGGAAGUGCAUCUGAAACUAUGGGACUUGAGUAUGGGAGAGGGAAGUGGAAUUCCUGGUGUAGCGGUGAAAUGCGUAGAUACCAGGAGGAACACCGGUGGCGAAAGCGACUUCCUGGACCAAUACUGACGCUGAGGCGCGAAGGCGUGGGGAGCAAACAGGAUUAGAUACCCUGGUAGUCCACGCAGUAAACGGUGAUCACUAGUGUAGCGGGUAUUGACCCCUGCUGUGCCGCAGCUAACGCAUUAAAUGAUCCGCCUGGGGAGUACGGCCGCAAGGUUAAAACUCAAAGGACUUGACGG
rnacentral:rRNA from 1 species